ensembl:lncRNA
CUUUAGUUACCACUUUAAAAAAGAGUAGCUCUGAAAUCACACAUUCAAAGAAUCUGAGGUAUUUUUCAUGGGCUAAAAAGUAACAAGAGUAUUUAUGAUCUGUCAACUUUGAGAUAGUAUUCAAGUCAGUUGGGCAGUUUAACUUAUUUUCCCUCCUUAAUUCUUCCAACUGUCUUCUUUCAUCUAUUUCUCCCUUCAUUCUGCCUCCCUAAGUGAACUUGCUCAGCUUUGCCAGGUUUUGCGACCCUGACAGGUGUCUGGGAGCGCUUCCCUCCCAGGCUGCUGGGUUGGAGGGCGGCCUCAGCAGGAACCCAGGAGGACAGCUGGUAUCCGAGACUCCCCGGCGGGGCCGGCCCUGCCACCAGCCUCAUCUGCAGAAGGCAGGCCUCUGGAGCUUGCUCUUGGGCAUCAGCUGUCUCCGACAACCUCUCCAGGAGCUUGCAGGAUGUCGACUUCACAGAAUCAAAUACUUCUUCGGAGAGGAGCCUUGGGCAUACUUCAUUUAACAGCGGUGUUUGGAUGCCUGCCACAUGCCAGGACCUGCAUGGCGCUGUGGGAUACAGAUGCAUCAGUCCCUGUUAUCUGCUUGCUUGUCACUGGACUCGGGUUAACCCAGGGCCUCCCUUGGCACUAGGAGCUAGUACUUUCUUCACGAUGGAGUGGAACUGGCCCCGUGGAAGCAGGUUUCUGAUGCCUGGGGGCCAGAUGAUGAGGAAACGGUGCCAUCUGGUUCUAUUUGGUGCUGGCACCGGCAGCUGAAGCAUGCGUCGAUGGAACAAGCUGUGGUCCCUUCUCUCCUCACGGAUAAGGGGCCAUGAUAGACUGCUCUUGGGAACUUACCCAUGUCCCCAAGCUGAUUAGGCCCAACUCGGCUCUUUCUUGUUCUGGAGAUUUGGCAAGGGCUUGCCGAGUCUACGACGUAUUCCCGAGUGUGGGCACACCAUCCUAGAGCUCCAGUGGUCUCUUCGUCCCCUAUUUGAGUGGUGCAGAUGAGACAGAAUAUCAACUCUACAUCAAGAACGGUACCAGCUGCAUUACACUGCAACACUGGGUGGUGAAGAGGCUUGGGCGAGCACAAGCUGUAGAGGAAGGAAAGGAGGAAAGAGAAGAAGGAAAAGAAGCAGAAGGCCAAACAUUCUGCGUUAAAGAAAGUGAGAAAAGUAAAUCAGACCAGACCAAACCAAAUCAAAAUCAGAUCAAAUGAAGCGUCAUGGACUCUGUUCUGGCGUUAUUAGUGAUAGCAGGCACCAGCCUGCCCUCUCUGGAGGAAUUGCUGGAGUUAGCUCAUGCACAGCAGCCAUCACUCACGCCACGAGCAUAUCAGACGUCAACAAAGUUGACUGAGCACCCACUGUGUGCAACUUGUGCUGAAUCAAACAGAAGGUUUAGAAAGCUCUUAGCAAAGCUGAUUCAAACUUCUCAUCUCUAAAAAUGAAGCUGUUUUUCUACUUUUGCCAGCAAGGGCUUGUAUGCCUUUGGUUCAUUCCCGGUCUUUGGAAAGUGGAGCAUAAUAUUAGUAAAUGUAGGAAAACACACUUAUGCACCCUGGAAAGUUAGUGUUGAUGCUGGUCAUUUUCCAAAUAAACAACGGAGCUGAACUUUAUUGAGAUGAAAGAGUUAUUAUAGUUAACUCCCAGAAUUACUUGGUUCUGUCUGGAUCCUUGUUUUAAUUGAUUUAAAUACUGUAUGCUAUCAAAUUCUUGUUUCCCAAGUUCAAAGUGAAGUGGAUGAUUCAGAGAGAUGAAUCUUAAUGAUAAGAAAAGGACAAAUUCAAUGCUGCCAAAUUAUCCAAAUAAAAGCACAAUAUAUUUUGAUCCUUGGCCUGCAAGUGAAGAAAUUUAAUCUCUAAUAACGUAAAGCUUUUGGCCCAGGAUUUUCAGAGAGGCGGAGUUGACUAUUUACAAAAGAUGAUUGUGAACGAUUUAUACUUGUAAAAAUAACUUG